GUGAACGCUGGCGGUAGGCCUAACACAUGCAAGUCGCACGGCUGCACCGUAAGAGCUUGCUCUUACGGGUGGCGAGUGGCGGACGGGUGAGGAAUACAUCGGAAUCUACUUUUUCGUGGGGGAUAACGUAGGGAAACUUACGCUAAUACCGCAUACGACCUACGGGUGAAAGCAGGGGAUCUUCGGACCUUGCGCGAUUGAAUGAGCCGAUGUCGGAUUAGCUAGUUGGCGGGGUAAAGGCCCACCAAGGCGACGAUCCGUAGCUGGUCUGAGAGGAUGAUCAGCCACACUGGAACUGAGACACGGUCCAGACUCCUACGGGAGGCAGCAGUGGGGAAUAUUGGACAAUGGGCGCAAGCCUGAUCCAGCCAUACCGCGUGGGUGAAGAAGGCCUUCGGGUUGUAAAGCCCUUUUGUUGGGAAAGAAAAGCAGCAGGUUAAUACCCCGCUGUUCUGACGGUACCCAAAGAAUAAGCACCGGCUAACUUCGUG
rnacentral:rRNA from 1 species